rnacentral:rRNA from 1 species
GUGGGGAAUAUUGGACAAUGGGCGCAAGCCUGAUCCAGCCAUGCCGCGUGAGUGAUGAAGGCCCUAGGGUUGUAAAGCUCUUUCAGUGGGGACGAUAAUGACGGUACCCACAGAAGAAGCCCCGGCUAACUUCGUGCCAGCAGCCGCGGUAAUACGAAGGGGGCUAGCGUUGUUCGGAUUUACUGGGCGUAAAGCGCACGUAGGCGGAUCGUUAAGUCGAGGGUGAAAUCCUGGAGCUAAACUCCAGAACUGCCUUCGAUACUGGCGAUCUUGAGUCCGGAAGAGGUGAGUGGAACUCCUAGUGUAGAGGUGGAAUUCGUAGAUAUUAGGAAGAACACCAGUGGCGAAGGCGGCUCACUGGUCUGGUACUGACGCUGAGGUGCGAAAGCGUGGGGAGCAAACAGGAUUAGAUACCCCUGUAGUCC